GUUUGAUCUCAGACUGCUGUGCUAGCAAUCAGCGAGACUCCGUGGGCGUAGGACCCUCCGAGCCAGGUGCGGGAUAUAGUCUGGUGGUGCGCCGUUUUUUAAGUCGGUCUGAAAAGCGCAAUAUUCGGGUGGGAGUGACCCGAUUUUCCAGGUGCGUCCGUCACCCCUUUCUUUGACUCGGAAAGGGAACUCCCUGACCCCUUGCGCUUCCCAGGUGAGGCAAUGCCUCGCCCUGCUUCGGCUCGCACACAGUGCACACACCCACUGGCCUGCAUCCACUGUCUGGCACUCCCUAGUGAGAUGAACCCGGUACCUCAGAUGGAAAUGCAGAAAUCACCCGUCUUCUGCGUCGCUCACGCUGGGAGCUGUAGACCGGAGCUGUUCCUAUUCGGCCAUCUUGGGUCUGGAUUCGGCAUUACAUGUCUUAACGGGUUCUAUUAUUGGCCAUGUCAAUUGGAGCAACCAUUUGGAAAGUCAUUUGGCAACAUCUCCCAAAGCUGAAUAUACAUGAAGCCUAGGAGCCAGGAAUUCCACUUCCAGGAUAUGCCCAAUAGAAAUGAAUACAUAUGUUCACCAAAAGGCGUGUCCUAGAAUGUUUAUAAUUGUGAACAGACCAAAGCUAGAAACUAUCCAAGUGUCCAUCAACAAUGGAGUGGGAAAUAAAAUGUCUCUUCGUACAAUGGAAUCUACAUAGCAAUGAGAACAAAGAACUUACAAAAGUACACAGCAACAUGGAUGAAAUUCACAAGCAUAAUUCCGAACAAAAAAUGCCAUGUACCAAAAAGCUUAUAGCAUAUGACUCCAUUUAUGUACAGUAGAAAAACAGGCAAAACAGCUAGCCUGUUAGAAGUCAGAAUGGUGGUUACCCUUUGAGGGGCUGUUCCUAGAUGGGGACUCAUGGGGUAAUGUUCAUUCCAUGUCUUGAACUGUGCACUGAUUACACUGGUGUGUUUAGCUUGUGAAAUGUAUCCACCUAUACACUUAUGUGGUUUUCUGUAUGUACAUUAUAUUUCAAUAACAUUUUAAGAAAGUGUUUUGCCACUUAUUAGUUCAUUUGACCCACACAACAGUUCUAGGAGAUAAGAAGGCCAGGUAACUUUUCUUCAGAUUUAUAGAAAGAAAACAGACUCAAAGUUUGGUCCAAGGUCUCAGUGCUAAUUGGUGGUGGAAUCAGGUUAGGUAUGUCAACCUCCUGGGCCAAGAAAGAUAGUCUCUGUUGGAGCACCUUGCACAGUGCUUGAUGCAUAGUAGGUGCUCAAUAAAUUUCAUCUGAAGCUGGAUCAUAGAAUGGUGGCCUUCUAAUCCCACAAGGCUGUUAUCCUGCUGUGGGAGUAACCAUCUUCUCUGGUGGUCUAAUGUCCCUUAUAGAAUGUGCGUAUUCUCUCCUAAGAGAAGAGUGGAGAUGAGGCCUGAGUCAAAUAUCCUAAGAAGCUGCCAAAAUACCUGUGGAGAAUUGCAUAACCUUGUCCCUCUAGGGCUUAGAAAAGAAUGAGUCAGACAGUCAGUUCUCAGACACGGUGCCCAGGAAAACAGGAAGAAGGUUCACUUAGGCAGAAAUCCAUGUAUGUGACCUUGGAUACAUCACUGAACUUCUUCAGGGGCAACAAUUUGAAAGACACAUUUGAGACACUCUGCCUAGGAUGACGUGAUCCUUCUGUAGCUGAUCUUCUGAGACCCGUGAAUUUUAUGUACUAUUUUCUAAUUAUAUUCUCAUUAUUUUCAAGGGCAUCAGACUGCAUUUCAAACUUGACAAUUCCUUUGCUAUAAUUUCAGCUCAAAUUUUGACUAAUUUAUACUUUAAAUACAAAUAUGCCCCAUUUUCUGCUUGUCAUCAUAGUUCAGAAAGAAGUUAUACCGACCAUGUUAUAUAAAGUAAUGAGGGGUCCUAUUCAGCUUGUUAACCAUGUUUCUUAAAAAAAAAAAGUACAAUAGAACUUUCUUUGUCAAUAUAAAAUUCGAGUUAUUUAUGAUGUGGCUAAAGAUAUGAUAAGAAGUCUCAGGAAUGGAAUCUGUUAUUGCUUGGAAAAUAAAAUCUCAAGACCUUCUUUGGAAAAAAAUGGAGAGUGAUAAAAUGCUUUCAUUUAGGGCUUGGCUGUGAUGUCAAGGUCAGCCAAUGAGCUUAGAGGGAAUCUGAGAAAAAUAAAGAGAAAAAUAGAAACAGAUGUCUGGAAAAUCUUCUUGAAUAUUGCUGGUGAAAUUGUAUGGUUAGAAGACAAAAUUUCAGUGUUACAUCCAUCAUCCUAAAAAGGUUAUAAUGAAAGCCAUUUAAAUUGGUGUUCAAAAACCUUGUGAGAACUUUGGUUGACUGUAUUCCACCAUGAAGUGCGUUUUGAUCUGAAGUCUUGGUUAGGGUAUUCCUCCAAUAGGUCAGCUGCCAUGGGCCUCCUAUUAAGUCAAAGUCUCUAUUUCAAAUUAGCAUAAGAGAGAACGCUGAUGAAAAGGGGAAUAAGAAUAAAGCUAAAUAAUUGUUUUGGCUUCUGAUUGAUCAGCAUCUAUGUUCUCAGAAGCAAGUUUCUUUUUGCCUCUAGUUGCUGCUGAUGGUAGGAAACAGAAAAAUACCUGUCUUAAAAAGUUGCCGAAGAUGGUCAGUUGAAAGGGUUGAAGAGCCUAACAGAGGAAAUAGAUCACCAAUAAUGGAGCUAAAAAGGAAUGAAAGUAGACAGCUUAGAGAUAGGACCCUUGGAGACACUCAGAUGGAAGGGUUGUCAAAAGGCUAAGCAUAAAAGACCAGGAAGAGCUAUAAUUCUAAUUAAGGUUCAGGAUGGUUUAAAAAGGAAAAUAAUCAAGAUUGGUAAGAAGAGUUUAAACUUAUAGUAGUGAUAAUGAUUUGACAGUUUGUUCUAGAAUGUCUAUCUAUUUUACUGAUUAGUUUUCAAGAGUGCUGUAAUUCAUACUAAGAAAAGUAGAGAAAGCUGAUUAUUUCUAACUCAGUACUACAAAGGUUUGACUUAAUUCUGUUAAAUUCCUGGCUUACUGCUAAUUGUAUGACCUUGGAUAAAUUACUUCACCCCUCCAAGCCUCACUGUCUUCAUCUGUAAAAUGGAGAAAUAGUAGCACCUACUUCAUGACAUCACUUUGAGGCCUCCAUGGUGGAUAUGAAUUGCUUAUUCCAGAGCUUAGAUUAUAUUAAAAGAAUACUACAUGGUUUUUGUUGAUGGUGGUAAUGAUGAUGUCCUUGAAUAUCUUUAAAUUGAGGUGCUCAUCUCUACCUUGUCUUUCAAAAGAUUCGAAGUGUCUUAAGUCCCAAAUAAUAAAUAAAAUUUUAUUUCUUUUUAUUUCUUGUUUAUAUCUCACCUCC
rnacentral:lncRNA from 1 species